AAGAAAGUAAUUUGCUAAAUCCAAUUGAACGAAGAAAACAAAAAGAGAGACAAUCCCCAAUGUGGCGAAAAAGUUGUCCACCAAAUCCUCAUCGCUUACGAAGGUUGCUAGGGGGGUCUAUCAUUGAAGUUGGCAGAAUCGAACUUGAUUGGGUCUAUCAUUGAAGUUGCCACCUUAGUUUUGUGAUUUGAAUGAUGAAUUGGUUGAUACGACCUUUCAAUCAAAUGACAAUAAGGCUGUCUGAACCUUGAUUGUUUGCUGCAAGCUUCUCUUGUUGAGUUUCGAGAUAUCUGGUUCGAUUUGACUACAUUGACUGC
rnacentral:lncRNA from 1 species